rnacentral:rRNA from 1 species
AGUGAACGCUGGCGGUAUGCCUAACACAUGCAAGUCGAACGGCAGCACAGUAAGAGCUUGCUCUUACGGGUGGCGAGUGGCGGACGGGUGAGGAAUACAUCGGAAUCUACUUUUUCGUGGGGGAUAACGUAGGGAAACUUACGCUAAUACCGCAUACGACCUACGGGUGAAAGCAGGGGAUCUUCGGACCUUGCGCGAUUGAAUGAGCCGAUGUCGGAUUAGCUAGUUGGCGGGGUAAAGGCCCACCAAGGCGACGAUCCGUAGCUGGUCUGAGAGGAUGAUCAGCCACACUGGAACUGAGACACGGUCCAGACUCCUACGGGAGGCAGCAGUGGGGAAUAUUGGACAAUGGGCGAAAGCCUGAUCCAGCCAUACCGCGUGGGUGAAGAAGGCCUUCGGGUUGUAAAGCCCUUUUGUUGGGAAAGAAAAGCAGCAGGUUAAUACCCCGCUGUUAUGACGGUACCCAAAGAAUAAGCACCGGCUAACUUCGUG